rnacentral:SRP_RNA from 1 species
GAGGGACUGGCGGUGGACGGGCGCCUCGCCAACCCGGUCAGGUCCGGAAGGAAGCAGCCGUAACGAGUUUCCGCCUGGGUCGCCGUCAGGACCUCACCU